rnacentral:rRNA from 1 species
GAUGAACGCUGGCGGCGUGCCUAAUACAUGCAAGUCGAGCGAAGCGGGGAAGGGUGAGUAACACGUGGAUAACCUCAUAUAAGACUGGGAGAAAUUCGGGAAACAGGAGCUAAACCGGAUAAUUAUAGAUGGAUCCGCGCUGAAUUAGCUAGGUGGUAAGGUAACGGGUUACCAAGGAAACGAUGCAUAGCCGACCUGAGAGGGUGACCGGCCAAACAGGAACUGAGACACGGUCCAGACUCCUACGUGAGGCAGCAUUAGGGAAUCUUCCGCAAGGGGCUAAAGCCUGACAGAGCUACGCCGCGUGAGUGAUGAAGGUCUUCGGAUCGUAAAGCUCUGUUGUUAGAGAAGCGGUAUCUAACCAGAAAGCCACGGCUAACUACGUGCCAGCAGCCGCGGUAAUUC